rnacentral:rRNA from 1 species
CGAGCUGAUCCAGCAUGCCGCGUGUGUGAAGAAGGCCUUCGGGUUGUAAAGCACUUUUGUCCGGAAAGAAAUCCUUGGCUCUAAUACAGUCGGGGGAUGACGGUACCGGAAGAAUAAGCACCGGCUAACUACGUGCCAGCAGCCGCGGUAAUACGUAGGGUGCGAGCGUUAAUCGGAAUUACUGGGCGUAAAGCGUGCGCAGGCGGUUUGCUAAGACCGAUGUGAAAUCCCCGGGCUCAACCUGGGAACUGCAUUGGUGACUGGCAGGCUAGAGUAUGGCAGAGGGGGGUAGAAUUCCACGUGUAGCAGUGAAAUGCGUAGAGAUGUGGAGGAAUACCGAUGGCGAAGGCAGCCCCCUGGGCCAAUACUGACGCUCAUGCACGAAAGCGUGGGGAGCAAACAGGAUUAGAUACCCCGGUAGUCA